rnacentral:lncRNA from 1 species
GCAGUACUGAUGCUUUUGACCCAGGGAGCCCACUGUGAGAAUCACUGACCUAAAGAAACCUUCACAGUAAGUAUCUGCAAUGAUUCUAAACAAUGAAAACCAGUAAAUUAGACCGAAUUAGAAUUUGUUUGUAUUUGCUUUUGUAAAGAGUCUGAAGAAAUAUUUUUUAAGAUGGUGUACAUUCCUGGGACUGUAUGCCGUAUCUCCAUCUAGACACCAAAGGUUUUCUGGGGUACUGCUCAAAUGAGAAUACCGGGAGAUACAAACGUUUUCCGUUUGCAUUUUAAUUACUUGAAAAUUAAUGCUCACAAAUGUGUUCCCAAGUACAAUGAUCGUUUCCUCUAUUAUUCAAUGCUUAUCCAAACAUUCCACUGAAGUGAACUGAACCGUUAGUUGCUCAGUUGUGUCCAACUGUCUGCAACCCCAUGUGGACUGUAGCCCACAAGGCUCCUCUGUCCAUGAGAUUUCCCAGGCAAGGAGUGGAUUGCCACUUCCUUCUCCAGAGAAUCUUCCCCAUGAGGGAAGCCAAUGCUUAUUAAAACACUCCACUAAAUAAAUACAAAAUGUUUUAGGAUGUAAGCACUGUAAGGUUGAAAGGAAUGUUUUCUCACAACUUUGGAGAAAGCAAACGGAUAAGAUACCUAAAACUGUCUCACUGAGCUAUCAGUGAUGCUCACUGAGUACCGAAGGGGAAGUAAAAAGCCACAUUUGCAUCCUCCCUUUAUUGGAUCAGUUACUGUUCAGUAGAAACAAAUCACCUGACCUGGGCGGUCUUAGAUUCUGAACUUGCUUUCCCUUAGACCUUUUCAUAAACAAAUAACUAGAAAUUUCUCUAAGAAGGGGAGAGGCCAGUUCCUCCUUUCAGCUCCUGUCAAGUGUGCCUGUGCUCAGCCAGGAGGGUUCAUUGUUACAGGCGUGGAACCUGUUCUUCCGAAACCUCGCCUGGGAGCUUGCUCUGAGGUCUGCAGGCUCCCCUGUCAGGACCCACCUGGACAAUGUCACCUUCAGAGGCAGACCAUCCCACAGGUAUCAGAGGAUUACUGGACUUCUAUGCCUGAAACAGAUUAGAAGAAACCAAGGAAUGAAAGAACCUGCCAUAGAUUUUGCACUCUGCUCUCCCUUAAUGAUCAGCCACUUGCUUGCAAUUAUCCUUUGGAAAAGGAUGGAAACACACUGAGGAACACAGGCAUCUGAAGACGGAAACGGAACCACCCCAGUGUGGUCAGGAGAACAGCAACUCUGACGACAUCGCCUGGAAGUUUCCAG